AUUGCCAGGGGCGGCCCAAAACAUUUGGGGGCCUAAGGCGAACUCUCUAGAAGAGGCCUUUUUUUUUUCAAAUAAUAAAUUUUUUUAAUAAUUAUAAAAUAUUUUAAAAUUUUAUUUAAAAAUAAUUCGUCUAGCUUUUUGAGAUGCAAAAUUACUAAUCAAAUUUUUAUACUCAAGAUCCAUUAAAAUACUAUUUUCACUUCUAAAUUAAUCCACCUAUUCAUUUGAUAAUAACAUUAUCAAAUAAAGCAAUUAAAAAAACACCAUAAAUAAAUCAAAAUAUAAAAAAGUUAAAAAUGAUAUAACUUGAUUGUGUCAAGAAAAACAAACUCAGAUCCCGACAAGUAGUGCCGAACUUAAUUGUGUCGAGAAAAGGCCGAAUAGUGCCGAACUUGACAACGAAAAGAGGCCGAACCGCCGAAGUCACAACGAACCUACAAUUGGACCAAAAAUCUUUUUGUUCAGUAAUCAGUAAUCAUUAAUCACUAAUCAGUAUAUACCAUUUGAUGAAGUACAUUAAUCCUGGUUUUCUUUUUUUGAUGAAGUACAAAAAAAAAUAAUGAAAGACAACUACAGUCUACAGAACACCAUCUAAUUUAGGAAUACCAUAUUAUGCUAACAUGUCUGAUGUCUCCCCAAAGCUAUUUAAAAUGUCUAAACUCUGCCGUGGAGUGUGGACGAUGAACUUUGGGCCUUUGGCAUUUGGCAAACGAACCUUAAGUUCUUGCCUCUCGAAAGUUGGAGCCGGAGGAUGGUGCCACGGUGGUGACGGUGCCUCAUGACUCAGGUGGUCGGUGGACCGUGAA
rnacentral:lncRNA from 1 species